UACGGAGAGUGCAAACGUUGUUCGGAUUCACUGGGCGUAAAGGGCACGUAGGCGGCUCGGCAAAUCGGUCGUGGAAUCUCGACGCUUACCGUCGAAACGGCGGCCGAAAAUACCGGGCUCGAGGGCGUGAGGGGUCACUGGAACUCCUGGUGAAGCGGUGAAAUGCGUAGAUAUCAGGAGGAACACCGGUGGCGAAGGCGGGAUCCUGGGCCAGUACUGACGCUGAGGAGCGAAAGCGUGGGGAGCAAACAGG
rnacentral:rRNA from 1 species